rnacentral:misc_RNA from 1 species
AAGUCGUAACAAGGUCUCCGUUGGUGAACCAGCGGAGGGAUCAUUACAGAGUUGCAAAACUCCCAACCAUUGUGAACCUACCUCACCGUUGCUUCGGCGGGUGGCCCCUCCCCCUCACCCGGGUUGGGACCACGCUGGCCCCCGGCUCCCGGGCGCUGGCAAUCCCGUCAAAGGACCUGAACCUUCUGUAAUUAUUGGCCUCUCUGAGUAACUGAUACAAUAAGUCAAAACUUUCAACAACGGAUCUCUUGGUUCUG